AUGCUUAACACAUGCAAGUCGAACGGAAACGAAACUAGCUUGCUAGUAGGCGUCGAGUGGCGGACGGGUGAGUAACGCGUAGGAAUCUGCCUGAUAGUGGGGGAUAGCCCGAAGAAAUUCGGAUUAAUACCGCAUAAUCUAUUCGUAGUAAAGUGGGGGACUUUCGAGCCUCACGCUAUCAGAUGAGCCUGCGUAAGAUUAGCUUGUUGGUAGGGUAAAAGCCUACCAAGGCUACGAUCUUUAGCUGGUCUGAGAGGAUGAUCAGCCACAUCGGGACUGAGACACGGCCCGAACUCCUACGGGAGGCAGCAGUGGGGAAUAUUGGACAAUGGGGGCAACCCUGAUCCAGCAAUACCGCGUGUGUGAAGAAGGCCUGAGGGUUGUAAAGCACUUUCAAUUGUGAAGAAAAGUUAACGGUUAAUAACCGUUGACCUUGACGUUAACUUUAGAAGAAGCACCGGCUAACUCCGUGCCAGCAGCCGCGGUAAUACGGAGGGUGCAAGCGUUAAUCGGAAUUACUGGGCGUAAAGCGUGCGUAGGCGGUUUAUUAAGUCAGAUGUGAAAGCCCCGGGCUUAACCUGGGAACUGCAUUUGAAACUGGUCAACUAGAGUAUGGUAGAGGAAAGUGGAAUUUCUGGUGUAGCGGUGAAAUGCGUAGAUAUCAGAAGGAACAUCAAUGGCGAAGGCAGCUUUCUGGACCAAUACUGACGCUGAGGUACGAAAGCGUGGGUAGCAAACAGGAUUAGAUACCCUGGUAGUCCACGCCGUAAACGAUGAUAACUAGCCGUUGGGGGGAUUUACCCCUUAGUGGCGAAGCUAACGCGUUAAGUUAUCCGCCUGGGGAGUACGGCCGCAAGCUAACUAUAUGAUACG
rnacentral:rRNA from 1 species